GGCCCAGAUCGUUUACCGUGAAAAAAUUAGAGUGUUCAAAGCAGGCAGAUCCAAUUUUCUGCCACCGAAUACAUUAGCAUGGGAUAAUGGAAUAGGACCCUGUCCUCCUAUUUUCAGUUGGUUUUGGCAGCGCGAGGACUAGGGUAAUGAUUAAUAGGGAUAGUUGGGGGCAUUAAUAUUUAAUUGUCAGAGGUGAAAUUCUUGGAUUUAUGAAAGAUUAACUUCUGCGAAAGCAUCUGCCAAGGAUGUUUUCAUUAAUCAAGAACGAAAGUUAGGGGAUCGAAGACGAUCAGAUACCGUCGUAGUCUUAACCAUAAACGAUGCCGACCAGCGAUUAGGAGACGUUGAAUACAAAACACCACCAUCGGUGCGGUCGUCCUUGGCGUCUCGGUUUCGGCCGGGGUGCGGGGACGGCUUAGCCCGGUGGCACCGGUGAAUGACUCCCCUAGCAGCUUGUGAGA
rnacentral:rRNA from 3 species